rnacentral:rRNA from 1 species
GACGAACGCUGGCGGCGUGCUUAACACAUGCAAGUCGAACGGAAAGGCGAACGGGUGAGUAACACGUGGGUGAUCUGCCUUGCACUUUGGGAUAAGCUUGGGAAACUGGGUCUAAUACCGGAUAGUGCAAGAUGAGCUCGCGGCCUAUCAGCUUGUUGGUGGGGUAAUGGCCUACCAAGGCGUCGACGGGUAGCCGGCCUGAGAGGGUGUAAGGCCACAUUGGGACUGAGAUACGGCCCAGACCCCUACGGGACGCAGCAGUGGGGAACAUUGCAAAAUGCGGGGAAGGCUGAUGGAGCGACGCUGCGUGGGGGAUGCAGGCCUUCGGGGUGUAAACGUCUUUAGACAGGGACGCGGUACCCGAAUAAGACGAACCGGCUAACUCCGUGCCAGCAGCCGCGGUAAUUC